GGCAAGAUCUUAUUUAGACGCUGGCCUGCUACUAUAUAAUACGUUCUGGGGGGUUCUCCUUCCUCCUCGAUCGUGCUCCAUGGCGGCCGCGCCUCAGUUGCAGCUGCAGCAGGAGCAGCCGCAGCUGGUGCCGCACUUGCAGGUGUUGCAGUCACAGCCGCCGCUCUCCAUGGCGGCCUCGAACCCGCCGGAGCUCCUGCACCCACACGCAGUCAUGGUUCAGUAACAACAGCAGCGGCGGCGACGAAUCGAGAAGACGAAACAAAGGAUCAUUCCGUACGACUUACGCCUUGUUGGUGGCGGCGGCGAUGACCAUGGUGGUGGUGGUGGUGGAGGUGGCCUCCACGUCAGGGAACAUGUUGCAGCUGCAUAUAUGAUCAUUGUAAACACAUUCGUCAGUUCAGAUACAUGAUCAGUUACUGCAGAUUUCGUCAUGGAAAACGAAACAACGAUCUCAUCAGGUGUUGCGAGGUUCGAUUAGGUUCCUACCCGCCGCAUCCAUUGCCGCACUUGCAGCCGGAGCCGCACCCGCAGUUGCCGUUGCAGCAAGACAUGCUGAUGAUCUUGUUGAUCACGAGAAGGGAAGCAGGAACUGGUGCUGAGGAAGGUGUAGUGCUUCUUGCGCUCUGCUUCGCUUGU
rnacentral:lncRNA from 1 species